UUUUUUCGCUCAGCAUCGACAGAUUCAGGAAAUGCUAGCGGCUACUCUUGGCUCACAAUUUAAUUUGCCACCUCUUCCUUCGCCUCCUCCUCCACCGCCGAAUUUUGUACCAUUUGUGCGUGUACCGUCUCCACAAGUGGGUUCGACGAGUACUCAUCCUCGAGGAGUUUCCGCCAGCCCGUCCACGCCAGCAUCGGCACCGCGUAACAUUU